AAGGUAUGCCUGUUUGUCUCACGUUCUCCCUGCCCCUUAUCUCUGUCCCCAGAUCCGUCUCCUACCGGCCAUCUCCCUCCAAUUUCCCACAUCAACAGUUGUGCUGCCCUCUACUCCACAUCUAUCUCUGUCCCCAGAGGAAAACAAUGCUGGUGUAAACCAGAUUGAGCCACAAAAUCAAAUCACAAUAGAGAAAGAAAAUAUUCCACCUAUUUGCUCAAUCACAACAGGUACAUAUGCCUUUAUUAUGGUACCUUACAAUAGUUGUAUAUAUGAGAAACAGUGGAUGUGGUGAACAAAUUAGAUGAAGCAUCUGUGAUUUGUUCGAUCCGGAUGAAUUUGCGUUCACAGCAACAAUGGAGAUGCAAAAUAGAAAGACACGCAUUAAUUGUAGUAGAACAUUAUUUGUCGUUGGUGAUAA